CUUUUCCCCAGUCCUAAACUUGCAAUGCUUGCCUGGUUUUUAUAUGUCUGAAAGUUGUGUCAGGAAAUGUAAUUUACCUUUUAAUUUUUUUUCUUUGCUCAGAGGAGCAGGACAAAGCAGUACAAAUAAAAAUGUGAUACAGAAUAUUAAGAUGAAGCUAAAUUAAUUAUGCAAAAUACAAUUCAGCGGCUUAGGAGGCAUUUUUUUUUUUCUUACUGAAUGUAUGGGAACUACUGAGUCACAGACUGAACCACUGAUUGAUCACCUGAGGCAAGGGCUGAGUCAGCCCUGGGAGCACAGGUGAAGGCAAUUCACCUGUUUGACCAGAAGGGGUGGAGCCUAGCUGCACCUCUACUAGAUCUGUUUAAAGGCUGACUGAAGCUGCAGAAGGAUCUCUUUCUGGAGAUUCUCCCUUUGGAGUCUUCUACUGUGAGCCUAGGACACGGCUGAAAUGGGAUAGAGUUUAUUGAUGGGCUUUCCUUCUGGAUUCCAUUGGCUUGAAGAGGUGGGGAUCUGUAAAGGACCGAUCAUAGAGGUUGGGUGAAAAGAAAAGUCUGAGACAGAUUUAAAUUUCUCAGCCAGUUGUGUUGCCUCUGUCAAGCCCUGAUGCUUGAUGCACUUCUCCUGUACCAGCCCUGCACUGGAGCAGGGCCUCCUCUCUGCUGUACAAGACAGUGUUUUCUCCUGCCCCUGGCACAGCACGGCUGGCAGAACUCAUGUAUUGGUGCAGCUCUCUUCCAUCCUCUUCUUUUCCAGGCUCCAUCUCUCCCCACUACUUGCUAUGUUUUGGCAGCACAGUCGCCACUCAGCAGCUUUAUUUCUGGUACUGGAAAAGAACAGGGUUCUCUGUGGAAUAGAGGCAUUCACUGCAAUAUUGCACUGUGGGCUGUUUCAUUUAUCAUCUUGGUAAUUUUUCUUUAAUUAAUGGGGUGAAACUAUCAGAGAUGAUUGCAUUUUACAAGAUUUCAAUUUCCAUUAGUAAUAAACAUUAAAGAUAUGGAGCAGUACACUGUAUGUGUAUGCACAACUAUUUCCUGUACUUACGAUAUUACUGUAUCUUUUUUAUCAGCUUUUUAUUAGAGCUAAAUCCAACAACAGAAAUAAGUAUAAUCUUUUAGAUGAGUUAAUCUUAGGGAAUCUCAUAUUGUUUUCUUUUAAUGCUUUUUUUUUAAUCUUAGACAUGAAAACCUAUCUCUUGUGGUUUAACCAGGCAGGUAGCUCAGUACCAUACAGCCAGUCACUUACUUUCCCCAGGUGGGAUGAGCUAGAGAAUUGGAAAUGUUAAAGUUCAAGAACUCAUGGAUAGUUCUCAUGGACAAAGACAAUUUAAUUGGUAAAGCAAAAGCUUCAUGCAUAAGCAAAGCAAAACAGAGAAUUAAUUCAUGACUUCCCAUUGGCAGACAGAUAUUCGGCACUCCCAGGAAACUGGGGCUCAUCAUGUAUAAUAGUGUCUUGCAAGACCAGCACUGUCAGCCUGAAUGUCCCACCCUUCCUCCUUCAUUACCCCAGCUUUUAUUGCUGAGUGUGAUGUGGUACAAGCUAUCCCUUUGGCAAGUUUGGGUCAGCUGUCCUGGUUCUGUCCCCUGCCAGCUCCUUGCUGACAGGGCCGUGUGAGAAUCUGCAAAGUCCCUGAUUUAGUAUAAGCACAGUUAAAACAUCAGUGUGUUAUCAAUGCUAUUUUCAUCAAACAUCUAAAACUAGCGCCCUACAAACCUGUAUGAAGAAAAUGAACUCUAUUCCAGAGAAAACAGCACCUGAAGCAGCCUUCUAGCUUCUGUAGAGAAAAACAAGCAGGAAUUUGAUAGCAGCAUGAGGAUCACAUCUGUGUCUCCCUUCCAGGAGUCACCAGAAUAAAUCUGAAUUGUGGAGCAACAGAAGACGUAAAAUAGAAGACUUUCAUCUAUGAAAGCUCAUAGAUGGCUGCAUGUGGAAUUUGGUAGUUACAAAGUUACAGAACAGUGCAAUAAGUCUAAAAUUUGAAUUUUUGAAAUACUGACAAUACUCCCACAGAAGUCAUUAACACUUCUGUUCAAAAGAUGGACAUUAUUUUGCAGGUCUGUUUUGCAUGUUUGUAUAAUGUCUUCUGUUUCACAGUGUUCUAUUAUGGGGCUGCUAGCUGGACUGCUGACCUCAUCUCUGGGUCUGCAUGACUGUGAUAUGAUAUGAUACAGAACAAAAUGUCUGUAAUAUCUGUAUCCUACAGAGCAUUAACUACAAUUAGAGUGUCAGUUUAGUUUGAAUGAGGUGCCAUUUGUUUUUUCCCAACAAAAAAACUGCUCCCAACACUCAGUUGCCUGGAUAAAACGCUGUCUCUUGAAAACCUCAGCGAGAAAACAGCUUAUCCUGAAGGUGAACAUCCUGACACAAAUGGUGAGUAAUCUACUUGAAAUAGUCAUAAUGUGACCUGAAAUGUCUUUCUGACAGUGCACAUGGCUUUUUCUCCUGCUCUGGGCUUUUGAACAUUAGAUGACCCUUCAGCUUUUACCUGAGAACAGUACCAUCAGACCUUUUCAUCCCAGCUCAGCUGAAGCAGGUUGCUAGAAUUGGGUCAGAUUGCUGUGCUUUCAGACAAGUUGAAUUCCUUCCUCAGGAGAUUGUUGACAAGCUCAGGAAUUGGACAUACCUCCGUCAAAGCAUGGCAGUAAUCCUUUUUAUGUAUUUAUUUCUACUUCAUCAACUCCGAACAAGAGUUCUCCUUAGAACAUAUGCUUCACUGGAGUUCUGGUUGUGCAGAGUAUUCUGCAUAUGGUGUAUUUUCUGGUGUGUAUAACUCCAUUCCCACCUCAUGUAUUUUUGACAGGGUAUCUCUUGUAGUUAGGAUAAUAAAAAUCACUUGUUAGACUGCAUUCUGAGGGGAAGAAACAUUCUUGUGUUGUAGCUCCUGUUCAGCAAGCUGUCUGAUCUGUGUUGGAGGAAAAAAUCAAUACACAGUUUGACUAGAGAAGUCAGAUCAAAUAUCAAUGUUUACUUUUUAUUUAGAGAGUUCAGGUGCUUUUUGUAGCAAAGCAAUUAAGCUGCUCCUAAUAGUACUACAGUACAUCUUGAAAGAGUUUUUGAGCUGACAUUGCUUUGGAGACAAAAGCAAUAGUGCACAUAUAUAUGCUAUGCUUGCUUUUGUUUCUGGUAGUUCAUCUAUAUUUUAUCUAGUUUAUUUUGACAACAGCUGCCUGAAUAGAUUAUAUAUACUCACUGUUCUUGUGAAAAGAGUAAGCCAUGCCAUGUCAUUGUAAGACAAAGCUGUGUUCUUUCAGGGAAGUCCUCGUCAGAAAUGACAAGUGAUGGUGCUGCAGGGAGUUUACCAAAUUAACUGUUUUUCAAAGCAUACGCUGCCAUUGAUUAUGACCUGACUUCUGAAAAGAUCUGACUUCUGUCACUACAGUCAUGAGAUACCUAUCAAGUGGAACAAACACUCACUGUGCUUGUUCUUGCAUAGCUUUUCCUUUUGAGGAAUUCAUCUGUCUUCGUGAUGUUUUGUGCUUCAGGCUUGCUGUUCAGACCCAUUGCCAGGUUUCUGUUUAUGACAAUAUAUUGGUAAACAAUCAAAUCUGUAAGGUAUAACACAGUUAUGUGGCUCUAAAUAGUUAAAAUGUUGACCAAUAUUAAGAAAAAGAUUUACUUUCAAAAAUUCAUUGGCAGGUAUAUUUGGAAAUACUAUGUCAAAAUGAUUUCAUAAUAAGUGUAGGUUUGUUAAGACUGAGUUUCUUCACUCAGGCCAGCUGCAGUAAGAGCAAGGAAGAUUUGGAACUAAAUUCUGGGAUGUCUGGUUAGUCUGGGAAAGAUCCAUUGGCAGCCCAAGAAAUCACUAGUUUUGUGGUAGAUAAAACAUAGUCCUUGGUGGAGAGGACACGGUAAAUUUUUGUAAGCGCAUCCUUCCUGCAACCAGUCUGUUCUGGGUAAACUGCCACUGAGUUUGGCUUAGGCAGCCUUUGGCCAGAUAACAGAGGGACUGGAAAGCAGAACCCCAAAUACAUGUCUGCUUCCUUACUCCUGCUGUUUAUAAACAAAACAACAUUUAUUCCUUUGAAGGUACAAAGCAAAUAUGAAAAUUUAUAACCAAGUACCCCCUUUUAUUGCUUCUCUCCUUAAUUUUGUCUAUGUUCACCACUCUUAAUAAUAAAAUUGUCUUGUUGCUCUAUGUUCCCUAUUCUUCAUAAGAACUGAUUUUUUUUCUCCUGAUCUUAACCAUAGUGCUGGAAAGAGCGAUUAUCCUUUACCUAGCUGCAGUGAAGUAACUCUGCUAGAUAAACGUUGGUAAGAGUUGCACUUGUGAUUUCAAGGUUCUGGUUUUUUUUCUUCCAAAUCACAUGGAUUUUCUGGAGAAAAGGAGGUUGAAAGGUGACCUGACUGCUCUCCAUGGUUCCCUGGGGAGGAGAAGUAAAGAGAGGUACUGGGCUCUGCUCCUGGGAACUGACAGCACCGUGGGAAUAGCAAAACUCUGCUCCAAGGGAGGGUCAGACUGGGCGUUAGGAAAUAAGUUAAGUUUCUUACAGAAGUGGUUGAUGCCUCUUGACUCUUAAAGUUCAAGAGGUAUUUGGACAACGCCCUCAAUAAUGUGCUUAACUAUUGGUUAGAUUUGAAAAGGUCAGGCAGUUGGACUUGAUCUUUACUGAUCCCACGCAACUGAACUAUCUUUUCUGUUUUAAAGGAUAGAACAUGCUGAACAGAAUUGGUUCUAUUUUAUAAGGCUGCAGUGCUCUAGGAAGCCUUCAGGAACCUACUUUUAAAAAUACAUUUUCAUAAUGUAAAAAACUUAUGUGAUUUCUUGUGUAUUUUUUUCUCAGCUGAAAGUUUUUAAUGAGCUGUGUAGAUACCUCCUGACAACCCAAGUGAAUUUUCUGUAUCAUAGAAGAUAUUUUCAUUUUAUUUAAAUGACUCCUUUUCUUAUUCUCAAAUAUAAAAAGUGCAUGUAAACAGUUCCCAGAAACUUAUACUCUAGCAAAACAAAUAGCAAAGCUUUAGAAUAAUCUUUUUUUUGCAAAACCUACUAACUUGUGAAACAACAGAAUAAGCCAUCUUAGAUGAAACAGUAUUUAAAGUAAGAGGCAAGAAAAUGAAAAGCAUGCUAAUUAUCAGAAAGUCUAUAAUUUUACUUCCAGCACUUUGCAAUUAGUGCACGCAUUUCUCAGAUACCUGCUAUUUAUUUUGAUUUUUUUUUGAUGCAAACUUCUAAGCACAUGAAAAAUUCGUUUUUAUUUGUACUUUCCUACUUAGUGUGUUUUAGCUACAGUUUUGCACUUAACAUGCAAUGAAAGCAUACAACCUGAAAAGUAGAUUUUUUUGUUUAUGAACUGUAAUUAUAACAUAUUAAUGAAAUUAAUAUUACAUUUUGUGCUAGAAACAGAAUAAGAGUGGAGAACAAGCGCUGCAAUUUAAUUUUGUAACAACAUAAUUAAGUGUCAUGUGAACACAAU
ensembl:lncRNA